GAUGAACGCUGGCGGCGUGCUUAACACAUGCAAGUCGAACGGAAAGGCCCAAGCUUGCUUGGGUACUCGAGUGGCGAACGGGUGAGUAACACGUGGGUGAUCUGCCCUGCACUUCGGGAUAAGCCUUGGAAACUGGGUCUAAUACCGGAUAGGACCACAUUUUGGAUGGUGUGGUGGAAAGUUUUUCGGUGUGGGAUGAGCUCGCGGCCUAUCAGCUUGUUGGUGGGGUAAUGGCCUACCAAGGCGUCGACGGGUAGCCGGCCUGAGAGGGUGUACGGCCACAAUGGGACUGAGGUACGGCCCAGAAGCCUACGGGAGGCAGCAGGGGGGAAUAUUGCACAAUGGGGGCAAGCCGGAUGCAGCGACGCCGCGGGGGGGAUGACGGCCUUCGGGUUGUAAACUCCUUUCGCUAGGGACGAAGCGUUAUGUGACGGUACCUGGAGAAGAAGCACCGGCUAACUACGUG
rnacentral:rRNA from 1 species